UACGUAGGGACCGAGCGUUGUCCGGAAUCAUUGGGCGUAAAGAGCGUGUAGGCGGCCAAUUAAGUCCUGCGUGAAAUCUCGGGGCUCAACCCCGAGCGGUCGUGGGAAACUGGUUGGCUAGAGUGCGGGAGAGGAGAGUGGAAUUCCUGGUGUAGCGGUGAAAUGCGCAGAUAUCAGGAAGAACACCGAUGGCGAAGGCAGGUCUCUGGGCAUUAACUGACGCUGAGGAGCGAAAGCAUGGGGAGCGAACAGG
rnacentral:rRNA from 1 species